CCUACGGGCGGCAGCAGUGAGGAAUAUUGGUCAAUGGGCGUGAGCCUGAACCAGCCAAGUCGCGUGAGGGAUGACUGCCCUAUGGAUUGUAAACCUCUUUUAUAAAGGAAUAAAGUGAGGCACGUGUGCCUUUUUGUAUGUACUUUAUGAAUAAGGAUCGGCUAACUCCGUGCCAGCAGCCGCGGUAAUACGGAGGAUCCGAGCGUUAUCCGGAUUUAUUGGGUUUAAAGGGUGCGUAGAUGGGCUUUUAAGUCAGUUGUGAAAGUUUGUGGCUCAACCGUAAAAUUGCAAUUGAUACUGGCAGUCUUGAGUAUAGUUGAGGCAGGCGGAAUGCGUGGUGUAGCGGUGAAAUGCUUAGAUAUCACGCAGAACCCCGAUUGCGAAGGCAGCUUGCCAAGCCAUGACUGACAUUGAUGCACGAAAGCGUGGGUAUCAAACAGGAUUAGAUACCCGGGUAGUC
rnacentral:rRNA from 1 species